rnacentral:rRNA from 1 species
GAUGAACGCUAGCGGCAGGCCUAACACAUGCAAGUCGAGGGAGAAGCCCUUUCGGGGGCAGAAACCGGCGCACGGGUGCGUAACGCGUAUGCAACCUACCUUUCACAGGUGGAUAGCCCGAAGAAAUUUGGAUUAAUACCCCAUAAUAUUAUUGGAUGGCAUCAUUUGAUAAUUAAAACUGCGGUGGUGAAAGAUGGGCAUGCGUCCUAUUAGCUAGUUGGAGUGGUAACGGCACCCCAAGGCUACGAUAGGUAGGGGUCCUGAGAGGGAGAUCCCCCACACUGGUACUGAGACAGGGACCAGACUCCUACGGGAGGCAGCAGUGAGGAAUAUUGGUCAAUGGUCGGAAGACUGAACCAGCCAUGCCGCGUGCAGGAAGAAUGCCUUAUGGGUUGUAAACUGCUUUUAUAUGGGAAGAAUAAGGCGUACGUGUACGUUGAUGAUGGUACCAUAUGAAUAAGCAUCGGCUAACUCCGUG